CUUCCUGCCGACCAACGUACCCCGGCGCGGUCUGCGCCAAGGAACUUCAAGUAAAGAGUGCCUCCGGUCGCUUCGGAAACGGCGUGCGUGCCGGGGGCGAAUCUUGUGCAAAACCAUAACGACUUUCGGCAACGGAUAUCUCGGCUCUCGCAUCGAUGAAGAACGUAGCGAAAUGCGAUACUUGGUGUGAAUUGCAGAAUCCCGCGAAUCAUCGAGUCUUUGAACGCAAGUUGCGCCCGAAGCCAUCUGGUCGAGGGCACGUCUGCCUGGGUGUCACGCAUCGUUGCCCCCAACCCCAUCGCCUCUCCAAGAGACGAGGGCGCUCUGCGGGGCGGCCAUUGGCCUCCCGUGAGCUUUCGCUCGCGGCUGGCCUAAAAGCGAGUCCUCGGCGACGAGCGCCACGCCAAUCGGUGGUGGACAGACCCUCGUGUCCCGUCGUGCGCGGCUCGUCGCUCGUCUUGUGCUCUGUGACCCUGUAGCGUCGCGCUCGCGACUCUUCCAACGCGACCCCAGGUCAGGCGGGACUACCCGCUGAA
rnacentral:rRNA from 1 species